AAAUGAAUAGACGGGGACCCGCACAAGCGGUGGAGCAUGUGGUUUAAUUCGAAGCAACGCGAAGAACCUUACCUGGUCUUGACAUCCCGUUGACCGGUCUGUAAUGAGACCUUCUCUUCGGAGCAGUGGAGACAGGUGGUGCAUGGUUGUCGUCAGCUCGUGUCGUGAGAUGUUGGGUUAAGUCCCGCAACGAGCGCAACCCUUAUCCUUAGUAGCCAGCAGUAAGAUGGGCACUCUAGGGAGACUGCCGGGGAUAACCCGGAGGAAGGUGGGGAUGACGUCAAAUCAUCAUGCCCCUUAUGACCAGGGCUACACACGUGCUACAAUGGCGUAAACAAAGGGAAGCGACCCCGCGAGGGUGAGCAAAUCUCAAAAAUAACGUCCCAGUUCGGAUUGUAGUCUGCAACCCGACUACAUGAAGCUGGAAUCGCUAGUAAUCGCGAAUCAGAAUGUCGCGGUGAAUACGUUCCCGGGUCUUGUACACACCGCCCGU
rnacentral:rRNA from 1 species